rnacentral:rRNA from 1 species
AGCCUUCGCUAAAGGAUCAGCCUAUGUCCUAUCAGCUUGUUGGUGAGGUAAUGGCUCACCAAGGCUAUGACGGGUAUCCGGCCUGAGAGGGUGAUCGGACACACUGGAACUGAGACACGGUCCAGACUCCUACGGGAGGCAGCAGUAGGGAAUAUUGCUCAAUGGGGGAAACCCUGAAGCAGCAACGCCGCGUGGAGGAUGAAGGUUUUAGGAUUGUAAACUCCUUUUGUAAGAGAAGAUUAUGACGGUAUCUUACGAAUAAGCACCGGCUAACUCCGUGCCAGCAGCCGCGGUAAUACGGAGGGUGCAAGCGUUACUCGGAAUCACUGGGCGUAAAGAGCGCGUAGGCGGGUGGUCAAGUCAGAUGUGAAAUCCUGUAGCUUAACUACAGAACUGCAUUUGAAACUGACCAUCUAGAGUAUGGGAGAGGUAGGUGGAAUUCUUGGUGUAGGGGUAAAAUCCGUAGAGAUCAAGAGGAAUACUCAUUGCGAAGGCGACCUGCUGGAACAUUACUGACGCUGAUGCGCGAAAGCGUGGGGAGCAAACAGGAUUAGAUACCCUGGUAGUCCACGCCCUAAACGAUGAAUGCUAGUUGUUGCCCUGCUUGUCAGGGCAGUAAUGCAGCUAACGCAUUAAGCAUUCCGCCUGGGGAGUACGGUCGCAAGAUUAAAACUCAAAGGAAUAGACGGGGACCCGCACAAGCGGUGGAGCAUGUGGUUUAAUUCGAAGAUACGCGAAGAACCUUACCUAGGCUUGACAUUGAUAGAAUCCGCUAGAGAUAGUGGAGUGCUGGCUUGCCAGAGCUUGAAAACAGGUGCUGCACGGCUGUCGUCAGCUCGUGUCGUGAGAUGUUGGGUUAAGUCCCGCAACGAGCGCAACCCUCGUCCUUAGUUGCUAGCAGCUCGGCUGAGCACUCUAAGGAGACUGCCUUCGUAAGGAGGAGGAAGGUGAGGACGACGUCAAGUCAUCAUGGCCCUUACGCCUAGGGCUACACACGUGCUACAAUGGGGCGCACAAAGAGGAGCAAUACCGCGAGGUGGAGCAAAUCUCAAAAACGUCUCUCAGUUCGGAUUGUAGUCUGCAACUCGACUACAUGAAGCUGGAAUCGCUAGUAAUCGUGAAUCAGCCAUGUCACGGUGAAUACGUUCCCGGGUCUUGUACUCACCGCCCGUCACACCAUGGGAGUUGUAUUCGCCUUAAGUCGGGAUACUAAAUUGGUUACCGCCCACGGCGGAUGCAGCGACUGGGGUGAAGUCGUAACAAGGUAACCGUAGGUGAACCUGCGGCUGGAWCACCUCCUU